CAGGAGGACUCGGUGACUCAAGCAUGAUGGCAGAGGAAAGGGAAUACUCACACUGCAUUUUGCUCCAGAGCUGAACCUCUCCGGGGUCAAACACCUAUCAUCUGGAGGCCUGGAUGGGUGACCUCGCUCUUCUGAACCAUUUUUGGCUGACAGUGAAACAUGACCUCUGCUGACCUCAUCUGGACACAGGAGGCCACUCCCCCACAUCAUCAUAGUCCAUCCCACUGGGAGCUGGAGGGCUUUCAGCCAGAACACUCUCCCCUACAGGGAUGGAUCAGGAGACAGACAGACACAGUCAGGGAAAGGCUCAUUUUCAGCAAAUACCUGCUGUGAUCUUGUAAUUCUAUACUGAAAGAAAAAGUUUCAAUCAAAAUAUUUUCAUAGGGUCAUGUCUACACUAAAAUGUCUACUCUCAGAAACGAGUUUGCAGGUGGAAUGGAAUGUGCAUAUUCUCAUAAUUGCCCAUGAAGCAAUCUGGAAAAAUGUCUUCCAAGAACCGGUAUAUUAAAUAUAAUGGGAUGGAUUGAUGAAUUUUUAUUAAACCAUAAAAGCUUGUAGUUAUUCAUGUUA